rnacentral:rRNA from 1 species
UAAGCGGAGGACAAGAAACUAACCAGGAUUUCCCUAGUAACGGCGAGCGAACCGGAAAGAGCCCAGCUUGAAAAUCGGGGCGCCUUGCGCCCCGAAUUGUAGUCUGGAGAAGGUCCCUCUGCGACGCGCCGGACCCAAGUUCCCUGGAAAGGGACGUCCGAGAGGGUGAGAGCCCCGUCGAGUCCGGAGUUCGUCGCUCCACGAGAACCUGUCUGCGAGUCGGACUGUUUGGGAAUGCAGUCCUAAGUGGGAGGUAAAUUCCUUCCAAGGCUAAAUAUUGGCAGGAGACCGAUAGCGAACAAGUACCGCGAGGGAAAGAUGAAAAGGACUUUGAAAAGAGAGUUAAAAGUGCUUGAAAUUGCUGGGAGGGAAGCGAAUGGAAGCUGCGGGUGCGCCCCGGUUGAAUGUGGAACGGCUCGCGCUGGUCCGCCACUCAACGCGGGGCGCUGGUCAGCGUGGGCUGCCGCGGCGGGACAAGUGCGGGGAAUCGUUCUCCGCCCCAUGCCGUUGCGGCGGCCGAGGAACGAAGCGCGCGCUGUCAAAGGCGUGGUCUCGGCCAACUGCGCGCUCGGGACGCUGGCGUAUUGAGCUCUUCAUCCGACCCGUCUUGAAACACGGACCAAGGAGUCUAACAUGUAUGCGAGCCGGUGGGCGGCAAACCCAUUGAGGCGCAAGGAACCUGACAGGUGGGAGCCCGCUGAGGGCGCACCAUCGACCGACCGUGAUCUUCUGUGAAAGGUUUGAGUGUGAGCACACAUGUUGGGACCCGAAAGAUGGUGAACUAUGCCUGAGCAGGGCGAAGCCAGAGGAAACUCUGGUGGAGGCUCGUAGCGAUACUGACGUGCAAAUCGUUCGUCAGACUUGGGUAUAGGGGCGAAAGACUAAUCGAACCAUCUAGUAGCUGGUUCCCUCCGAAGUUUCCCUCAGGAUAGCUGGAGCUCGUGUACAAGUUUUAUCAGGUAAAGCGAAUGAUUAGAGGCAUCGGGGGUGUAACACCCUCGACCUAUUCUCAAACUUUAAAUAGGUAAGCCGCCGGGGUUGCUUGGUUGAACCCCGGCACAGAAUGAGAGCUCCAAGUGGGCCAU